GACGAACGCUGGCGGCGUGCUUAACACAUUCAAGUCGAACGAUGAAACCUAGCUUGCUAGGUCGAUUAGUGGCGACCGGGUGAGUAACACGUGACCAACCUGCCCCUUUCUCUGGGAUAACGCUCCGAAAGGAGUGCUAAUACCGGAUACUCACAUCGAGGCACAUGCUAUGAUGUGGAAAGUUUGUCGGAACGGGAUGGAGUCGCGGCCUAUCAGCCUGUUGGAGAGGUACAGGCUCAGCAAGGCGACGACGGGUAGCUGCGACCUGAGAGGGCAACCGGCCACACUUGGACUGAGACACGGCCCAGACUCCUACGAGAGGCAGCCGUGGGGAAUAUUGCACAAUGGGGGAAAACCUGAUGCAGCGACGCCGCGUGAGGGAUGAAGGUGUUCGGAUUGUAAACCUCUUUCAGUAUGGACGAAGCGAAAGUGACGGUACCUGAAGAAGAAGCACCGGCUAACUACGUGCCAGCAGCCGCGGUAA
rnacentral:rRNA from 1 species